rnacentral:misc_RNA from 1 species
CCAAUCAAAACGACGAGAAAUUUAACACCUUAGAACAAAAGGCAAUAAAUUACCAAUCCAUAAACUUACACUGCAAGAGUUGAUUCAGAACGAGCGACAUAAGGUACAAUACAUCCAUAGUUGGAGUCAAAAAGACCCUUCAAAAAUGCCAGCGUGCGUGUCAGAUCCUUCAAAAACAACGCAUUUUUGGAAGAUACGACACGGGGACUGCAACAUUUUUGUAGAGUCCGAGCAACGUAGGUAUAACUUACAAGCAAAACAAAACAACAAGCACACAAUCUGAAAUGAUAUAUUCAACAAAGAUCAAGCAAGAGUGUCAUAAUAAUCCCUUCUUGGUUCACGUUCAACAAAGAGGAUUGCAUAGAGAGCAUAGAUAAUUCCAGGAACAUAGCCCAAUAUGGUCAAUACCAAGCAAAUCAAGAACUCCACAGUGCAGCAACCAUGGCGAAGGCAAACACCAAGAGGAGGAAGCAAGAUUGCUAGUAAGAUCUCACAGACAAGUGCACAUGUUAUCUCCAUUCUUGAUUUCAAAAGGGGCUGAGGAAAUGAUUUGACUUUUUAGUGUGGC